rnacentral:rRNA from 1 species
CCCUUAGAUGUUCUGGGCCGCACGCGCGCUACACUGAUGCAUUCAACGAGCCUAUCCUUGACCGACAGGUCCGGGUAAUCUUUGAAUCUGCAUCGUGACGGGGAUAGAUUAUUGCAAUUAUUAAUCUUCAACGAGGAAUGCCUAGUAGGCGCAAGUCAUCAGCUUGCGUCGAUUACGUCCCUGCACUUUGUACACACCGCCCGUCGCUCCUACCGAUUGGGUGUGCUGGUGAAAUGUUCGGAUCGGCCGUUUGUCGCGGUUUCCGCGUCAUGUGGCUGAGAAGUUCAUUAAACCCUCCCACCUAGAGGAAGGAGAAGUCGUAACA